AUUAUAUACUCAGAAACAAGAUUGAGAACGAGUUUAUCACACUCAAUUGCUAUAGUUAGCAAAACAAGACCAAUUUUGAACGCAAAGUUUGGGAUGGGCUUUAUAUAUAUAACUAAGUGGACCUUCGUCCAUAUAUCACUUACCCAUGCAUACUUUUCUAAUGUGAUCUUUAAUUUUGUCCCACAUCGCUAUUCUGAAAAACAAUGUUGCUGUAUAUAUAACAUUGAAAAAGCAUCACUUGUCACGACCUUACUUGAACAGGAUCUGUUCUAUAGGCUCGUACAUCUGUUUCCUUGAUUUCUCAAGAGACAGACCCUUUACCCUGGUUGAUGAACUAUGACUGUGCGACUAGAGCGUGAUUGACGGCUACGAUCGUCUUAGGACGCAUCCGGUGCUGUAGAGGAUCGUUACUCGGCUCGGUUCUACCCGACCGGGGUGGUCGCACGGCGGUCUGACAGGUUGAAUAAGACAUGGGACUUGAUGAUAUCUAUGACUAUGGGAUAAACAGCCCAUUAGACUACAGUUCUGAAGAGGAGGAAGAUAGCAGUUACUAUCAUCUGCAACCUCAGACUGUGAAGAGGAGUCUGUGGAGCUGUGAUGCUGAACCAACAAAACCUGAUUAUGAGACAGAACUGAUGAAGUUCAAGGAUGACCAAAACCAUUAAGAUCAGAGGUUGGUGAAACUGGAGAGGCUUGUUACUGAGUUAGGUGAGAAGAAACCAUUGUUCAACUUGGCCCCUGAAUUGGUAGUUGCUGUUUGCUUCAGUAUGAGUGUUUUGGUAGUGGCACUCAUCAUGUUUAUUAAGUAAAUUAGAGUAGUCGGCAAGUUCAGCAUAUAAUGUAUGAUUGUAGGCACAGUUUUAAAGCCAGACUCAUGUGCAUUUGUUUUGUAUGUUUUGGAAAACAAAAUUUGACAAGAGUCACAUGCUUUUGUUUGUAUGAAAGACCAAAGUUCACA